GGUUAGAUGGCCGAGCGGUCUAAGGCGCUACGUUCAGGUCGUAGUCUCGCAAGAGGCGUGGGUUCAAAUCCCACUCUAAUCA
rnacentral:tRNA from 1 species